AAUCAACGCUGGCGGCGUGCCUCAGACAUGCAAGUCGAACGAUUAAAGCUCUCUUCGGAGAGUGUAUAGAGUGGCGCACGGGCGAGUAACACGUAAGUAAUCUACCUUUGAGUGGGGAAUAACGUCCGGAAACGGACGCUAAUACCGCAUAAUGCAGCGGCAUCGCAAGAUGACAGUUGUUAAAGAUUUAUCGCUUGAAGAGGAGCUUGCGGCAGAUUAGCUAGUUGGUAAGGUAAUGGCUUACCAAGGCUACGAUCUGUAACCGGUCUAAGAGGACGGUCGGUCACACUGACACUGAAUAACGGGUCAGACUCCUACGGGAGGCAGCAGUCGGGAAUUUUGGGCAAUGGGCGAAAGCCUGACCCAGCAACGCCGCGUGAAGGAUGAAGUAUUUCGGUAUGUAAACUUCGAAAGAAUGGGAAGAAUAAAUGACGGUACCAUUUAUAAGGUCCGGCUAACUACGUGCCAGCAGCCGCAUAAC
rnacentral:rRNA from 1 species